rnacentral:lncRNA from 1 species
CACACCGCGUCCGCCUCGCGUGAACUCCCACGCUCGCCCAGGCCGUGAAGACCCGCUUCAGUGUCCGCGUCUUAGAGCAGCGUCCCGCACACCUGCUUGAAUCCUGCGUCUAGUCUGCUGCACAAGCCGAAAUUCAAAUCACGUGCAUGCGCUGUUUCUCUCCGCGUCGCACCACCGUGCAUGGGUCCCUGCUCGUGUGUCCAACUUCCAGCCACCCAC